rnacentral:lncRNA from 1 species
AUAUUCACAAAUGUAAUCAACCAAACAAUCACAAAUUCAACAAUCUAUCAUACAUACUAGCAUGCUCGUUUCCAUGUAUUCUUUAUAUCAUUUGGUACAUUUAAUUGCUCAAUGCUUAUUUGCAAUGUACUAUAUAGAACUUAGUAGUCUAAUAAUAAUAAAACUUAAAUUCAUCUACUAUCAUGCCAAAUUUAUAGUGAAUAUAAUCAACCUAUAUGAAUGCUCUUAACUAAUAAAUUCUAUUUCUAUAAGCUUAAACACACAAUUGAAAAUAAAAAUUAAAAGAUAAGCAUAAAAAAUGAAAAAAAAUCUCCUAUGUUACCCCCCACAGUUUAGAUAACACAAUGUCCUCAAUGUGUAGCCCUAAAAGGAUAAAGAAAAAAGUUACUCGAUUGAUCGUGGUGGUUCCGUAAUCUGUUGGUGGGUGCUCCCUUC